rnacentral:rRNA from 1 species
GACGAACGCUGGCGGCGUGCUUAACACAUGCAAGUCGAGCGGAAAGGCCACUUCGGUGGUACUCGAGCGGCGAACGGGUGAGUAACACGUGAGUAAUCUGCCCCUGGCUUUGGGAUAGCCACCGGAAACGGUGAUUAAUACCGGAUAUGACACAUUCUCGCAUGAGUUUGUGUGGAAAGUUUUUCGGCCAGGGAUGUGCUCGCGGCCUAUCAGCUUGAUGGUGAGGUAAUGGCUCACCAUGGCUUCGACGGGUAGCCGGCCUGAGAGGGUGACCGGUCACACGGGGAAUGAGACACGGCCCAGACCCCUACGGGAGGAAGCAGUGGGGAAUAUUGGAAAAGGGGCGGAAGCCUGAUCCAGAACCCCCGGGGGGGGGAUGAGGGCUUUCGGGUUGUAAACCUCUUUCAGUACCGACGAAGCGCAAGGGACGGUAGGAACAGAAGAAGCCCCGGCCAACUACG